rnacentral:lncRNA from 1 species
GUGGUCAGUCUGUUACCAGUUUCAGCUCUUCGCCUGUUUAUUCAGAAAGUAUUUGGUGGGAAGAGAAUUCAGAAAAAAACUAAUGAGUUUCUGAAGUUUCAGGUGAGUUUACUUUGUAAUUGGCAACUUUAAUGAAGAUUGUUGGUUAGAUAUUUGACUCAUUGUGACUGAAUAAAAUCUUUCAAUGAUUUUCCAUAUGAGUACACUCACCAGAAAAAGUCCCUGAAAGAUUGGAUGUACAGUCAUGUGGUUCAGAAUAUAGAGACAUUUUAGCGAGGCCCCUCCUCUCCCACUAGGAGACAGAAUCUUGGACAAGAUUUAAAACAUCUGCCCCCUCUCCUGAUUGACUUCCCUUCCCUUUGAUGCAUUGGCUGAAGUUCUACAUAAGAAAAUUGCUAGUUAACAAGGAUCUUGCUUUGAGAUGGUAGAUAUUUCUAGAAGGGUUGUGGCCUAUCAGUCAUUUACACUUGAAUGUGAAUUUUCUCCAAAUGGCUUUCUCACAGAAGGUUAGCUGAGAUGAUGUCCUACACUAAACAAGUAGGUUUUGAUAGGAGAGAAAGGGAGAAAACAGAAUUUUGAGCAAUCAGAAAGGAAGAGUAGACCAGAGAAAUAUUGCAACAGAUGCUUUAGGUGGCAGGAAGACCCCAGAGGACCUCUUCUCCACAACUUGGAGAGUAUGUAGGGCAGGCAUAAAGGGAGGAUGUCAGAACCAAACUUGGCUUAGAAUUGGUUCAGAUUCCAUGCUGGAGGACAGGAAAAACUAAACUGUGCUUAAGUGGGCUUUGUCAAGAUUCUUCGUAAAACCCAGUACAUUGUGUAAGGGAGGUAAUUUGCAAAGCUACUAGAGAGUGAGAUUUCCUAAUUUCCUUUCAAGUUUCAUGGGAGAGGGAUUUGAGAGUUGUGCCUUUAGUGGAGAGAGAGAAGAACCAAGUCUCUAGUACAAUGAAAGUAGUAGAGAAUCUCACUUUCAGAAUCUGAUGUAUGUCAGAGGCCAUGAAAUUAAAAAACAAACAAACAAACAAAAAAACUGGUAAUCAGCAGCAGAAUGGACUUAGAGAAAACCGAUUGCCCCUCUCCUCUCAUGAGACCUGGCCAGAAUCAAGUGUUUGAUCACCUUUAAUUUUCUGUCAGCUCUGAAAAACUUCAUCUCAGGGAGCAGGAGAAAAGGAACAAGGAGUGCCCGUAUAAUACAUGAUAUACAGUCGGGAGAAUGACUCAGGAAAAGUCCUCCUUGAUUAUUUUCGCAAAAUUUUGAGGAGGGGAGAGUCAAGCAUGGCAUAUAGGACAGUAAAAGUGAUCCAGGUCAGAGAAGUGAAGGGUCAUUUCCCUUCACUUGGGGAUUGAAAUUUGUCAGUCCCCAUCUAGGAUUGUCAAGGGAGAUUGCGUACCACUAAUUUUGUGACCAGUUAAUUUCCCUAGGCCUUAGUUUUCUCCUGCUUUAAAAGAGGGUAUUGAACCAGACAAACUCCAAGAUGCCUUUCAGUGCUUAAAGUAUAUGAUUCUAGGAUGAUUAAUGUUAUAAUACAUUCUUUGGCAACAUCUGCAUCUAUUUAAGCCCAUAAAUGUUGAGAAGAAAUAUUUGGUAUGCAGUAAACCAGGAAGCAGGUAGCUCCCUUUAAAUAAAUACUCAUCUAACAUUGAUGAAGUUUCAGGUUUUAUCAACCUUUGCUGGACUCCCAUGGUUGCCCAUAUCUAAUGGGACUGGGUCAUGUUUUCCAUCACCUAGAAUUUUGGGGCUUAAUUUAAUUUUUAUAUCUAAUGGAUGACAGCUCUGAGUAAUUUAAGAUCGUUUAUAAGGUUAAAAAGAAAACCCUAAAGUUGGCAAAAUAGCAGAAGACAAGCAAACUAUAAUGAACGAUGUGGGAGGAAGAUCUCUUCAAGCUGACCAGAGACAAAGAUGGUUUGAAGGAAUAAGUAUUUUCUUUAUAAUGCACAGAAAGAAAAACAUGAGAUUAUGUAAAUAGAGGGUUGUAAAUUGUGGAGGUUUGGCCACAUCCAGUUUACAGAUGACUUUUUUGGCAGCACAGAGUUGUGAAAAAUUAUGACUGAGUGAUGUUGAGAUGGGCAUGUAUUUAUAAUCCUGGUGAGCAUCCUUCCUGCCCUCUACCUCCACCAGCCACUUGACCCUAUUAUCCUGCCACAGACCCUUUCCACCUUGAUCCGAACUUCCUGGGCACCAGGGCAUUUGAGUUUGGAUGUGAUACAAGUGUAAAUGAGAAGUUUAGCCCAACUCUUUUCUGAGAGGCUUCAGUUAACAGUCAGCCCCCCAUAUACAUGGGUUCCACAUCCAUGGAUUCAGUGAACCUUGGAACCAAAAUAAUCAGAAAAAAAAAAAAA